GGGGCUUCUCUGCUAACUGCCUCUACCUCUGGAAGACCAUUCUUCCUCCCCUGUCAGGCCAGUCAGCUUCUGUAAACUAAAAUCAUUUAAUCAUGUAGAUACAAGGCUAUUCUGAUAGGAAAAGGAAUGAGCCAAGGAGUCACAGGCUCAAAGAAUUUUAGAAUUGGAAGGAUGUUAGAGGGGAAAAUGCACUCAAGGGACCCUCUCUGAAGAGCUGGUUGGGAGUAGGGGCAUGAUGGCUGAAGCUCUCUUUUCUGCUUUGUCCUGGUUUCUCUCAGCUGUAUUUCCGGAACUGAAGCAAGAAUCCGUGUUGAGAGGUGGCAAAGAGCAAACCCAAGGUGGACCGGGGACAGAGGCAGCCACCGCAUCUGCACUGGCACAGGACUUCAACUCUGAAUGA
rnacentral:lncRNA from 1 species